AUUAUUACUUUGGCAGACUAGUGUGUUUGAUUUAGAUUCAUUUUAAGUAAAAUUUACAAGUAAUA
rnacentral:tRNA from 1 species